UACGGAGGGUGCAAGCGUUAUUCGGAAUUAUUGGGCGUAAAGAGCGCGUAGGCGGCUUUGCAAGUCAGGUGUGAAAUCCCGGGGCUCAACCCCGGAAGAUCAUUUGAUACUGUGGAGCUUGAGUAUGGGAGAGGGAAGUGGAAUUCCUGGUGUAGCGGUGAAAUGCGUAGAUAUCAGGAGGAACACCGGUGGCGAAGGCGGCUUGCUGGGCAGCAACUGACGCUGAGGCGCGAAAGCCAGGGGAGCAAACGGGGAUUAGAUACCCU
rnacentral:rRNA from 1 species